GUCAUCAUGGCCCUUACGGCCAGGGCUACACACGUGCUACAAUGGUCGGUACAAAGGGUUGCUACACAGCGAUGUGAUGCUAAUCUCAAAAAGCCGAUCGUAGUCCGGAUUGGAGUCUGCAACUCGACUCCAUGAAGUCGGAAUCGCUAGUAAUCGCGGAUCAGAAUGCCGCGGUGAAUACGUUCCCGGGCCUUGUACACACCGCCCGUCACACCAUGGGAGUUUGUUGCACCAGAAGUAGGUAGUCUAACCGCAAGGAGGACGCUUACCACGGUGUGGCCGAUGACUGGGG
rnacentral:rRNA from 1 species